rnacentral:misc_RNA from 1 species
GAUGAAGAACGCAGUGAAAUGCGAUAAUUAAUGUGAAUUGCAGAAUUCAGUGAAUCAUCGAGUCUUUGAACGCACAUUGCGCCCCCUGGUAUUCCGGGGGGCAUGCCUGUCCGAGCGUCAUUGCUGCCCUCAAGCACGGCUUGUGUGUUGGGCUUCCGUCCCUGGCAACGGGGACGGACCCAAAAGGCAGUGGCGGCACCAUGUCUGGUCCUCGAGCGUAUGGGGCUUUGUCACCCGCUCCCGUAGGUCCAGCUGGCAGCUAGCCUCGCAACCAAUCUUUUUAACCAGGUUGACCUCGGAUCAGGUAGGGAUACCCGCUGAACUUAAGCAUAUCAAUAAGCGGAGGA